UACGUAGGUGGCAAGCGUUGUCCGGAAUUAUUGGGCGUAAAGCGCGUGUAGGCGGUUCGGUAAGUCCGCUGUGAAAGUCGGGGGCUCAACCCUCGGAUGCCGGUGGAUACUGUCGGACUAGAGUACGGAAGAGGCGAGUGGAAUUCCUGGUGUAGCGGUGAAAUGCGCAGAUAUCAGGAGGAACACCAAUUGCGAAGGCAGCUCGCUGGGACGUUACUGACGCUGAGACGCGAAAGCGUGGGGAGCAAACAGG
rnacentral:rRNA from 1 species